UCACAGACCCCUCCACAAGAUUAUAGAAGUAGUAGCAGUCACUGGUCCCAUCCUCUGGUGGGCUCUUUUGGCUGCCUGAAGGAUUUCUAGGAAGCUCCAGGGAUGCUGCUCUUCUCAGGAGUCCUUCUCUGUGCUGGGGUGGGCAUCUUAAGAUUCAGCUGCCUUUGAAUCACCCACAUUUGGAGCUGUUGCUGGUGUUAUUAAAAUUUGAGAGGAAAACAAAUGCAGCUCAGUCCCCUGGUGAGUGAUUUUUUAUCUUAAAUUAAUGUUAGAAUUGCAAUGAAGGAAGUUGUGUCACUCCCCCAAACAAGGGCAAGGCCAUGCUAUAGAUAUUCUAGGAAAGAAGAAAACAAACAAACCAUGAAAACCAAAUGUGCACCUGUAGGGAAAAUGAUAAUUGCUACAUUGGUUUACUCUGUGUGCCCAAGUCUGGCUUAUGCAUACUAUUUUGGAGAAUAGGCACAAAGUAUUCUGAAUAGAAAUUAUCCCAGUCUGAGUAGAAUUGUGAUCGCCAAUGGCCUCAUUUACCUGUAUGAUCAACUCAAAUGGAAAGGAAUUCACGAAAGCCUCAUUUGUUAUAGGCACAGUGAUCAUCCGAAGGCAAAAUGGCAUAGAAGUAGCUAAGCAUCUCCUCCUCGGUGGGAACAAUGGUUACUUAAAAGUAAAAGAGCAGUAUGAUUUAAUUGCCACACAGAGUUGAAAUGAUUGUAACAUCCACUAGAGACAGAAGUUACGGAAGAUGACAACAAUUCAAAAGUGUUUGGUAUUAGAUCUGGGCCUUGGGAUAACAAGAAAGGGAAAUAGUCAAGAAAGGACGGCAGAAGUUUAGACAUCAGUUUGUAGAGCAUGGAGAACCAUUAGGGUUCACUAGGGCUCACUGGUUUGGAGUGCUCAAAGGCAAUAGAACUGAGAUGCAGCUGUGUAUGGGCAACUUAGAAAAAUAGGAAGUUAGGGGCAUGCAGGCCACUUGGAUGCAGUUAUGAUUUCUUAUGUGGGCAUAGAUGCGAUUAUGGAGAUGGGCUGUCUAUGACGAUACAGCUGUUUGAUCAGUGAAAAGUACAAGAGAGAAAGUGACUGUGUAACUAAUUCUAUGGAUGUGGCUCACUGAAAAGACUUCAGUAUAGAUGUUAUGCGGUCAUGAAUCCUGUUACUGAGGGUUGCUAAGCUACCGACUAAUGGCGAUGAGUUAGUCCCAGACGAAACCUAAGUCUAAACUUUUAUAUUGAACUAAUUCAAGAAUUACUCUCCUUCAAGAGAUUUCUAAAGAGCAGAAGCAAAGUCCCAGUUAUGUCUGAGAAGCAAGUGUGAUUGCAGAAGCACUGUAAGGAAAAGGCAAUAUCAUUUAUGCCGUUGUUAUGCAGUGUGUGAGUCUCUGUGUGCAGAGUGAAGCCCUUUGGCAGACAGCCUCUGAAGCAGUAGCCACACACAUCGUACCCAACAACCUAGAGUUCUGAGAGGAAGGCAAGUCUGAGGAAUAACCAGCCCAAGGUCAGUAGUAUACAUUAGGACCACAUGAACAUAUAUCCAGACAGUUCACAAAAUGUCAUGUCGGGGGCACCGACAAUGUUAUACAUUCCGGUUACCACAAUAUUACAGAGGACUUUCCAAGAGACUUUGGAAAUGAUACUUUCCCAAGAGGAGCUCAAGCAAUGAUGACAUCAGUUCUUCAGACACCGCUGGGUUGAGCAGAGCUAAAUCGUGAAAGAAUGACAGAUUCAAUUCUGCUGAGUUUAACCAAAGGUAAAAGAUCUUUCCUCUCCUGUUUAUUAAUAGGAAGGCAAUUUGGGCAUUAAAAGGUGAUAUAUGAAAAGUAGGCAUAUUAAAGUUAAAGGUUUCUGGACCAGGCCUUUUAAUCCCAGCGCUAGUAGUUAGAUCCCACGUGAGUUCCAGGUCAGUCUGCUCUGUGCAUGGUUCAGGGAACAUCCUAGGGAAGGGGGCAGGAGAAUUGUAAUAUCCAAAGGAUCAGGAAAUCUUCAAGAAGUUUUACCCUCAUUCACUUCCACAAUAUGUCUUUCUAAAAAUACCUGAAAAAGAACAAGAGUAAUAUAGACAUGUUAUUGUGUAGGGGAGGGGUAAAUCACACAGGGUCCCUCCCCUAGACCAAGAAUGCUAAGAGAUGGA
ensembl:lncRNA